AGGAGUUUGGCCUGCCCAGUGACAAAGUUUUAACGGCCGCGGUACUCUGACCGUGCGAAGGUAGCAUAAUCAUUUGCCUUAUAAUUGAAGGCUAGUAUGAAAGGUUCGACGAAAACUGAAUUGUCUCUUACUAGGUAAAAUGAAAUUGAUUUUUAGGUGCAAAGGCCUAUAUUUAACUAAAAGACAAGAAGACCCUAUUGAGCUUAAAAAUUUUAUAAAAAUAAAAUAAUAUGGCUAAGAUUUUCAAUUUUUUUUAGGUUUUUUGGUUGGGGCGACUUAGGAACAGUAAAAGCUUCCUAAAAUAAAGAAUACUUAUUAGUUUUGAUCCAAAAGGAUUUUGAUUAAUAGAAUUAGUUACCAUAGGGAUAACAGCAUAAUCUUUCUUGAGAGUUCUAAUCGAAAGAAGGGAUUGUGACCUCGAUGUUGGACUAGAAUAUCCUAAAGGUGCAGAAGCUUUUAAAGGUUGGUCUGUUCG
rnacentral:rRNA from 1 species